rnacentral:rRNA from 1 species
UGGGGAAUAUUGCACAAUGGGCGCAAGCCUGAUGCAGCAACGCCGCGUGAACGAUGAAGGUCUUUGGAUCGUAAAGUUCUGUUGCAGGGGAAGAUAAUGACGGUACCCUGUGAGGAAGCCCCGGCUAACUACGUGCCAGCAGCCGCGGUAAUACGUAUGGGGCGUGCGUUGUCCGGAAUUAUGCGGCGUCAAGGGUACGUAGGCGGUCUAUUAAGUCAGGUGUGAAAGCGUGAGGCUUAACCUCAGUACGCACUUGAAACUGAUAGACUUGAGUGAAUGGGAGGAAAGUGGAAUUCCUGGUGUAGCGGUGAAAUGCGUAGGUAUUAGGAGGAAUACCGGUGGCGUAGACGACUUUCUGGACUUUUACUGACGCUCAGGUACGAAAGCGUGGGGAGCAAACAGG